GACGAACGCUGGCGGCGUGCCUAAUACAUGCAAGUCGAGCGAAUGGAUGGGAGCUUGCUCCCUGAAGUUAGCGGCGGACGGGUGAGUAACACGUGGGCAACCUGCCUGUAAGACUGGGAUAACUUCGGGAAACCGGAGCUAAUACCGGAUACAUUCUUUCUUCGCCUGAAGAAAGAUGGAAAGAUGGUUUCGACUAUCACUUACAGAUGGGCCCGCGGCGCAUUAGCUAGUUGGUGAGGUAACGGCUCACCAAGGCAACGAUGCGUAGCCGACCGGAGAGGGGGAUCGGCCACACUGGGACUGAGCCACGGCCCAGACUCCUACGGGAGGCAGCAGUAGGGAAUCUUCCGCAAUGGACGAAAGUCUGACGGAGCAACGCCGCGUGAGCGAAGAAGGCCUUCGGGUCGUAAAGCUCUGUUGUUAGGGAAGAACAAGUACCAGAGUAACUGCUGGUACCUUGACGGUACCUAACCAGAAAGCCACGGCUAACUACGUGCCAGCCGCCGCGGUAAAAC
rnacentral:rRNA from 1 species